rnacentral:rRNA from 1 species
AUUGAACGCUGGCGGCAGGCCUAACACAUGCAAGUCGAACGAGUGGCGGACGGGUGAGUAAUGUCUGGGAAACUGCCUGAUGGAGGGGGAUAAAUACUGGAAACGGUAGCUAAUACCGCAUACCAUCAGAUGUGCCCAUAUGGGCAUGGCUUGUUGGUGGGGUAACGGCUCACAAAGGCGACGAUCCCUAGCUGGGCUGAGAGGAUGACCAGCCACCUUGGAACUGAGACACGGUCCAGACUCCUACGGUAGGCAGCAGUGGGGAAUAUUGCACAAUGGGCGCAAGCCUGCUGCAGCCCUGCCGCGUGUAUGAAGAAGGCCUUCGGGUUUUAAAGUACUUUCAGCGGGGAGGCGUUACCCGCAGAGGAAGCACCGGCUAACUCCGUGCCAGCAGCCGCGGUAAUAC